AUAUGCUUCCCAUAUCAACAGUGAGAUUACUUACUCAGCUUCAUACUCACAUCGGAAUCAAAAUGCUUGCAGAGUAUGCAUGUUAAGAAAUAGAUCUUUCUAUGGUGACCUCUUUUGAGAUCUUUCACUUUUUCUCCAUCCUGUUAAGAAAAUGACUUCCUAAAUACCUGAGAUCCUCCACUGAUGUCACCUCUAUUGCUGCUUCCCAGAAACUCUUUGGAACAUUUAGUUUGGCUCCUCAGUCAAAACACCUGGCACAGAAGACCCUACUAGCAGCACUGCUAACAUCAUCACAACCUCUUGGUGAACAAGAACAUCCAGACCCACUAUCAUGAGCCUAUUCUUCAACUGCAGGGGUUGAUAGCAUCCUAGGACACCUCCUCACCAGUCCAGCGAUGGAUGAGAUACUGCCCAACAUACGACGUCACUGGACUUCCAGCAGAGGCCCCAUCCACAAAUGGAGUAGAAGCAUCCUAGGAAGCUUCCCUCCAAACACAGGAGCCUGCCUGUGUUGUGCUGGAAGAGGUGCAAGGGGUGUCCCUAAUCUCUGCUGCUUUGCUAUGGAGGCUGGUCAAAUGGCACCCGGGGGGGGGGGGGAGUGUCCUCCAUGUGAAGUCCUAAGUCUGGAUUCAACACAGUGUUUUAAGAUUUUGUACCAGGAUUUCAUGACAUUCAGGCUGAUCAAAGAACAGGAUGUGAACACAAGUCUGAGUUUAUGGGAUCAUCUUGGAAUGAUUUAUUGGUAUCAAUAUGAAUAAUCUCUCACAAUCAUUUUCACACAUAAAAUACUCAUGAGAACCACUGUAAAAUAGAGAAAAUGAGACAUCUUGUUGAUGGCAAUAUGCCAUGGCAGUCUUUUACUAGUCAAUUUGAAUUAAUUUGCACUUCAAUCCUCUCACUUCUAUCCAAACUUCCCCUGCCAAAACCACUUAACUCUCUCUUGUCAUUAUAAUCAUAUCUUCCAGCCUUCCUCUGAUGCAUCCCUUCUUUGCAUCUAGCAUGCAUUUCUUGUUUUUAUCAUUGAAAUUACCCACAGCCUACUACAGGACCUUUUAGCCUUAGAGGAGUAUUAUAUGUGCCCACAUAUGUGAAAAAAGAAGCUAUUAUAAUCCAGUCACAGAAUAACUUGAAAUUCAGCAUUGCAGAAAAAGUGCCACAUAAGUAUACAGUGCACUGAAAGGAAGGAAACCAACAUGAUAAAAAGCUUGAAAAUCAAGUUUUAUGAAGAAGAAUGGAGAGAACUGAGUAAGUUAAGCCUACAAAAGUGGAGAGGUCUCCUUAAGCUAUCCCCUAAAGGGCUGUCACACAGAAACUUGUUUUCUGCUGCACAAGAGGUUAGCCACCAAAACAACAGAUUCAAAUCAUAUGAAAGAUGAUUCUAAGUAUUAAAAAUAUUGUUUUAAGUGCAGUUUAAGACAGAGCAGUCGCCUGGCAGUUUGAAGAUGAUAAUGUAUUAAUUCUUUUGUAUAAUUGUUGUGUUGGCAGUGAGCUCUGUUUUCCCUUUUAUGCCAUAAUCCUAGAAAUCACCCUAAAGAGUAAAGUUGGCCAAUGACUAGGAAUUAUGACAGUUCAACAAGGAGGAACAUACAGUGCCCAUUCCUGUCCUAGAUUUUGAUGUCAAAGGAAACUCUUGGGCUGAUACAUAGCUAAAUGCAUAAAUGAAGGCCAGGAAGGUGUGUGUGUGUGUGGGGGGGGGGGGGGAGUCAUCAUAUAUUAGCGGGAAACCUCAAUUUCUUUAACUGUGCACAGGCCCCUAAUUACUGUUACAGCACAGAAGUAUCUGAAUCACCCCUACAUGACAAGGACAUGGCAUUAGCUGAUGAGAGGGUUUGAUGUAACAACUGUGUUACUGGACAUAUAGACCUUCCACUAUCCUUGUUUGGUGAUCUGUGGCCUCAAAAGCUUCCCCUGCCCUUUAUCUUUAUCUGGUAAUUGUGGUCUUCAAGUUUAUGUCUUCUUACUUUUGUUUGUUCACAUGGAGAAGGCAUGAUUCUGCAAAGAAAGCUAUGGAGUUUGCACUAAAGAAAUUUUCAACAUUUCUACUAAGAUACAAUUUUCUGUGGGGAAAGCUGUGACAGUUCAUGUGGCACAUCAACAUUGCAUGCAUUUGAAGCACACUCACUCUAGUCUACACAUCCAAAAGGGCAGAAGCAGCUCAUGACUGGAACAAUCCGUUUAGUUGUUCCAUGUAAAUCAGCCACAGGAUGGCUCUCUUAGUUGAAGAGAAUGCCAGGGAGGGUAUAGAUGAUUAAACAGGAAGAAUUGGGCUUGACCCUGAAUAUAGCAAUACCAUGAGUAUGGUAGUAGUACUACCUACAGCAUUAGGAUGAAAGUCCAAUGUCCCUCCCCUUUUCUAUGUAGGAGGCAGGAAGUGCUGGGAAGGAGACUGGCUUUGGGAGCUAUCUUUAUAGUAAUUGAGCCAAGUUUGUGGGACCAGCCAUGAUAGUCCCUUGUAGGCAGAGUGCUACACAGGGAAUUAGAAACAACAUAUGGACAGGAAGAAACCACCUAACACCUUCCCUGAAGUGAUAUGCACACUUGAGUAACAUGUAUUUUGCAUCUGUUCCAUUUCCAGAGGAUUUGAUAUUGUUUAAAAGAAAUUACAGGACUUUGUUUUAGUCGUUCCUGAGAUAUUGGUCGACCCAACAUUCCAGCAUUGAGUUAUAAAUCAUGUCACAGAUCUUUGUUAUCUACAAAUUGAAGCAAUCAGAGGAGAGAAAGAGCAAAAUAAGCACAUUAAGCAAUUUGGGGACAGAAAAGGAUGAUUUCUAGGUAUUGCGCUUUUAAAAAAAUGUAUUUCUGGAAAAGUCAGGACAAAUAUCAUUAUGGCCACUUGAAGUUUUUGUCCCUGACAGCAAUCACUUGACUGCUAUUCAUUUUUUUACCGUUUAUCAUCAUUAAAUGAUAUGGAAAUGUAUUUGACUGGUGUAGUUCUUGUAGUAGGCUCCACCACAGUGAAAUCCAGGAAAUGCCACUCUAGAAAGAAUAACAUUUCCUCAAGAUAGGUUCGUGGUGGAUGGUCCCACAAACAGAACUGCCAUCUAAGAAUAUGAGACUUAUUAAUCCUUGACUGAAAUUAGACUCAAUUAAUUUAGCAAAAUUAAGGUCGAAAAGGUUAGCAGAACACUUUUUCUGGCUAAAAGUGUUACAUUUUAAUAAUGGAGAUUUUAGAGGAGUCAUUAGCUGAUGCCAGCAAAAAAAAUUCCAAGAUCUCACCCAACCUUAGAAUUACAUUUAUAAACUUCAAUACUCUCUCUACCUUAGGUCUCUCAAUGUAGUUUAAAAACAUUUGAACAAUGCUAUAAAAAUCAUUAAAUGUAGAGACUGUAGCAUGUUGCCAAUUUAUAUCAUCAUCACAGGGAGUUAAUAGAUAACACUCUAUCAUGUCACUCAGAUAAUUGUAAUAGUGUAUCUCUCUGUAUUACUAUCAAAGGUAAGUGAUUGUAACAAUUCAUCUAAUUUGUACAGUACUUCUUAAGUUGUUAGAUGUGGGAGAAGAAGUGUUUCCUAACCAGAAAGUGUUUCCUAACCAGGGAAAUAUGCAAUAUGUGCACUGUUUUCUUUCUUUCUUUCUCUCUCUCUCUCUCUCUCUCUCUCUCUCUCUCUCUCUCUCUCUCUCUCUCUCUCUCUCUCUCUCUCUCUCUUUCAAAUAUCAGUGAUCAGUAGUUGAUGACUUCUGGAUUGGCAUGAGUUCUUGAAGUUCAUGGAGCAGUCACUUUUAUGCAGGAUACAGCUCUUUGAAUCUUACAACGUGAACAGAAGCCAUUGACAGGCUUCUUAUCCAACACAACCAGGCUAGGGACCAGUGCCUCUAUGGCAACAAUUUUCAAGCCCCCGAAGACUGUUGUACCAAAAAGAAUAUCCAGGAUAGAAUCAUUUUUCCCUGAUAGGAAAGAGCCACUUGGGCCCUAUUCCAGGAAGGAUAAAGGGCAUACAUGGGAUUGGAAACUUUGGUCUGUGAAGGAUAAGUAGAACUCAAGACUAUAUAUUUUGAUACUCCUGUGGGCCCCUGAGGCAUUUUUCCAGGUUUUUUCAGGGUGGUGGAGAGACGGGGACCCAUAUUGUCACAUUUUGUGCUGAUCAGAAACCCAAUUUUAAGUGAAAAGGGGGGGGGGGGUCUGGAGAAUUCUUAAGAGUGUUUUAGGCCUCCAACCUAAAGUUUUCCUAAGCCUGCUUUAGUGGAUCUCUGUCAUCUACACGUGGAGGAUACAUUUUGUCCUUGGUAGACUUCGCCCGAGAUCAGUAGAGAGGGUGAAAAUGAGGAAAGACUUUUUGGAAUUGUGGGAGUUGAAGUCUAAAAUACCUGGAGGGCCAAAGUUUACCCAAAUCUGCUCUAUAUGCUCAGAGCUGAGAUAAUUUUUUAUGGGAGUCAUUAGUCUUAGGAAAAAUAGCAUAACCGUAUCUCCUUGUGGAGAGAGUUCACCCUGAGCAUUUGCUCAUUUUCUAGGUUUACAGGUCAUAACUAAGAACAUUUUAAAAACAUCCAUGGUUAGAAAAUACAAAUAUAUAAAAUGUAUGUACGAUGUAUGAUUGGGAUGAAAUAUGGAGAAACACACUUCAUUCAGUAGAGGAGAGUCACAUAAGUUAGGCAAAGUACACAAAUACCUAUGCAAACUAAGGAAAAGUGAGCUUCAGUGCAAGAAAAAAGAAACCAAAGAAAAAGAAUAUGAACAUAGUAAAAUCUUAUUUGAAAUAAGCAUGGACUGUAAAUUAUGACUGCUCCCUUUUUAGAAAUAAGAUGUAUUCUAUAUCUUCCAGCUCAUGUGUAGU